rnacentral:rRNA from 1 species
GGGUGACGAGCGGCGGACGGGUGAGUAAUGUCUGGGAAACUGCCUGAUGGAGGGGGAUAACUACUGGAAACGGUAGCUAAUACCGCAUAACGUCGCAAGACCAAAGUGGGGGACCUUCGGGCCUCAUGCCAUCAGAUGUGCCCAGAUGGGAUUAGCUAGUAGGUGGGGUAACGGCUCACCUAGGCGACGAUCCCUAGCUGGUCUGAGAGGAUGACCAGCCACACUGGAACUGAGACACGGUCCAGACUCCUACGGGAGGCAGCAGUGGGGAAUAUUGCACAAUGGGCGCAAGCCUGAUGCAGCCAUGCCGCGUGUGUGAAGAAGGCCUUCGGGUUGUAAAGCACUUUCAGCGGGGAGGAAGGCGAUAAGGUUAAUAACCUUGUCGAUUGACGUUACCCGCAGAAGAAGCACCGGCUAACUCCGUGCCAGCAGCCGCGGUAAUACGGAGGGUGCAAGCGUUAAUCGGAAUUACUGGGCGUAAAGCGCACGCAGGCGGUCUGUCAAGUCGGAUGUGAAAUCCCCGGGCUCAACCUGGGAACUGCAUUCGAAACUGGCAGGCUAGAGUCUUGUAGAGGGGGGUAGAAUUCCAGGUGUAGCGGUGAAAUGCGUAGAGAUCUGGAGGAAUACCGGUGGCGAAGGCGGCCCCCUGGACAAAGACUGACGCUCAGGUGCGAAAGCGUGGGGAGCAAACAGGAUUAGAUACCCUGGUAGUCCACGCCGUAAACGAUGUCGAUUUGGAGGUUGUGCCCUUGAGGCGUGGCUUCCGGAGCUAACGCGUUAAAUCGACCGCCUGGGGAGUACGGCCGCAAGGUUAAAACUCAAAUGAAUUGACGGGGGCCCGCACAAGCGGUGGAGCAUGUGGUUUAAUUCGAUGCAACGCGAAGAACCUUACCUGGUCUUGACAUCCACAGAACUUGCCAGAGAUGGCUUGGUGCCUUCGGGAACUGUGAAACAGGUGCUGCAUGGCUGUCGUCAGCUCGUGUUGUGAAAUGUUGGGUUAAGUCCCGCAACGAGCGCAACCCUUAUCCUUUGUUGCCAGCGGUUCGGCCGGGAACUCAAAG